rnacentral:rRNA from 1 species
UGGCGGCGUGCCUAAUACAUGCAAGUCGAGCGCAGGAAAUCGACGGAACCCUUCGGGGGGAAGUCGACGGAAUGAGCGGCGGACGGGUGAGUAACACGUAAAGAACCUGCCCUCAGGUCUGGGAUAACCACGAGAAAUCGGGGCUAAUACCGGAUGGGUCAUCGGACCGCAUGGUCCGAGGAUGAAAGGCGCUUCGGCGUCGCCUGGGGAUGGCUUUGCGGUGCAUUAGCUAGUUGGUGGGGUAAUGGCCCACCAAGGCGACGAUGCAUAGCCGACCUGAGAGGGUGAUCGGCCACACUGGGACUGAGACACGGCCCAGACUCCUACGGGAGGCAGCAGUAGGGAAUCUUCCACAAUGGACGAAAGUCUGAUGGAGCAACGCCGCGUGAACGAUGAAGGCCUUCGGGUCGUAAAGUUCUGUUGUAAGGGAAGAACAAGUGCCGCAUGCAUGGCGGCCUUGACAGU